UCCGAGGUCGACGCGUUCCAGCGCCAGGUCGACGACCUCGUCUCCAAGACCGACGUGCUAGAGAGACGGGUGAACGAGGUGGUGGACUUCUACGAUGGCAAGAAGCACGGCAGCGGCGGGCGUAAGGGCGGCAGGCAUGGGGCAUACGGGAGGGGGAUGCCCGACCUUAUGCGCCAGUUGGGCGUGAUUUUACGAGAGAUCACCGAUGAUAAUGAUGCAUGGCCAUUUCGGGAGCCAGUGGAUGUUGUAGGACUGCACCUUCAUGACUAUUACAAGGUAGCGCGACUAAGCCUGAUAAUGCAUUUUUAUCCCUUAUUGCUGUAGUUAAUUCAUAUUGCGAUAGUAAUUUUGAUUACAAGGGGAUAUUGUUGUAGAUUAGUAAAAAUGUGAAUCUAUUGAUGUUAUGUAUUUAGUGUAAUCCUGGAUAUUCACCCGCAAUACAAAAUCUUAUAGAGGUAUACGGACUCGACCUUGAUUAGGGUCCACUUUGGCCAUCGUUUAUGUUCUACUGCAAGCACAAAUAUAUAUAAAUCUAUGCUGAACAGAUUGUAUCAGAUACGUAUCAGUAUUGUACACGUAUGCGAUACCGUUAUGCGCUGGAUAUUUGGCCGAUAAGUAUCCAUGGAGUAUCGAGACAAAUAAAUAUGAGAUAAUUCGAUAUGUGAGCCGAUAUGUACUGGUCACUUCGUGGCUAUGUCCCAGCUCACCUGAGCGAAUCGCUACCAGAGGGGGAGGGAGAAGAGAGAGGAUAAGCAGGAGAAACAGGCUAGGCUGCAUGCCUGCACCUGCCCUCACUGCUAUUCUUGCUGUGCUGGUCCGGCACCUGUGGCCAUAGCAGCUUUCUUCACCGGUUAAUUGCAGAGCUCGAUCUGGAGGGGGGGGGGGGGGGUUUGCUGGCACUCGAGCUGCAUACAAAUAGAGCUCGAUCUGGAAGGUCCUUUCUCCUGGGGGCGGCCAUAGUUGUUGCUGCUGCGUUGCUCCAUUGCGGGUGUAGUCGGGAAGGAACGAAGGAGGCGGCAUCCAGUAAGGAAUCUAUAGAUUAGGGUUUGAGGGGAGAGGGGAGGGGGUUGCUUUAUCGGCUUUUGGGUGGAUUGGGCUCUACUGAGUGGGAUGGCUGCUCAGAGUUAUUGUGGCCCAUUAGUGCUUGUAUUUUCCUCUUAUUCUCUAUUGUACAUAUUCUCUCCUACAUAUGUUUAUAUAUGCCUUAUUAUUUAUUUGUUGUAAAAUAAAACAUGUUUUGGUUUUUGGAAAACUGUGUAUCCAUGUA